UACGUAGGGUGCGAGCGUUGUCCGGAAUUAUUGGGCGUAAAGAGCUCGUAGGCGGUUUGUCACGUCUGCUGUGAAAUCCCGAGGCUCAACCUCGGGCCUGCAGUGGGUACGGGCAGACUGGAGUGCGGUAGGGGAGACUGGAAUUCCUGGUGUAGCGGUGAAAUGCGCAGAUAUCAGGAGGAACACCGAUGGCGAAGGCAGGUCUCUGGGCCAUAACUGACGCUGAGAAGCGAAAGCAUGGGGAGCGAACAGG
rnacentral:rRNA from 1 species